rnacentral:misc_RNA from 1 species
GCACUAAUGCCAUCGGUUACGAUCUCUCACCAGGGUGUUCAUUUGCGCGAUACAUGUCUGGUCAGGGAUUUGACACAUGGAUUCUUGAAGUUCGAGGUGCUGGAUUGAGUGUACGGANNNNNNNNNNAAAUUCAGCAGUCUGCGCAUGCAGUGUCUGAACAGAUGGAAGCUGUUGCUAAGACUGUAAAUAAUGGAGCCUUAUCUAACAAUCAGCAGC